GACGAAGGUGGCGACCGUUGUUCGGAAUUACUGGGCAUAAAGCGCACGUAGGCGGCAAUGUAAGUCAGGUGUGAAAUCCCCCGGCCCAACCGGGGAAUUGCGCUUGAUACUGCGUUGCUUGAGGGCAGGAGGGGACCGUGGAAUUCCUGGUGGAGCGGUGAAAUGCGUUGAUAUCAGGAGGAACACCGGCGGCGAAGGCGACGGUCUGGCCUGCUUCUGACGCUGAGGUGCGAAAGCCAGGGGAGCAAACGGG
rnacentral:rRNA from 1 species